AGCAGCCGCGGUAAUUCCAGCUCCAAUAGCGUAUAUUAAAGUUGUUGCAGUUAAAAAGCUCGUAGUUGAACUUCGGGGUUUACCCAUUGGUCAGACUUAAUUGUCUGCACUGGUGAGAUGAAUCUCUACCUUCUGAGGAACUUUCAUGCCAUUUAUUUGGUGUGAUGGGAAAUCAGGACUGUUACUUUGAAAAAAUUAGAGUGUUUAAAGCAGGCUAACGUCUGAAUACAUUAGCAUGGAAUAAUGAAAUAGGACGGACUGAUUCUAUUUCGUUGGUUUCUAGGAUCACCGUAAUGAUUAAUAGGGAUAGUUGGGGGCAUUAGUAUUCAAUUGUCAGAGGUGAAAUUCUUGGAUUUAUUGAAGACUAACUACUGCGAAAGCAUUUGCCAAGGAUGUUUUCAUUAAUCAAGAACGAAAGUUAGGGGAUCGAAGACGAUCAGAUACCGUCGUAGUCUUAACCAUAAACUAUGCCGACUAGGGAUCGGACGAAGUUAAUUUUAUAAUGACGCGUUCGGCACCUUACG
rnacentral:rRNA from 1 species